UAUGCAAACAAGUAAUGUAUCCCUGAUGGCUUCACAUGGAUGAUGAGUGAUAUCACCUGAAUCAGGGUCAUGGAUGAAUCUGGAAACCAUCAUUCUCAGCAAACUGACACAAGAACAGAAAAUCAAACACUAUCACUUCUCACUCAUAGAUUAGCCCAGGAGGCCACUUCCAGCAUCAGGAGGCAAACUAUUUUGCACACACUUCUAAAAGAAGACAAUGGAGACACAAGGAAGGGACAGAGUGUUUUGGCCAAGCAGCCAUCAUAUAAUUGGAUGUGGAGGUUGACAACCCUAAUGCACUCAAUGACAGGAGCUGAUGGAGACCCACCUGUCCUGGCCUGCUGAGUAGAUCAAAUCAAGAAAACUGGCGGUCUAUUUUCUGAGAGUGAUUUGGAGACAAAAUUACAUUGCUGAAAAUGUCUACCCAUCUUAUAGGAAGAUAAGAAUAUAUCUGUUAGUGUAUGAAGAAUAAUAAAUAUGUUAAAUAUAAGACUGUCCUAAUUUGCAUAUACUUUCAAAAUUCAUGAUUUGUUUUGUCAAAUAAAUAUAUUAUCUUUCUAAAAUAUUUGCAAU
rnacentral:lncRNA from 1 species